ACAACAGGUAGUCUAUCCCAGGCCCUGACUGUGCACAACCUCAUGCUUACAAGUGGUGGCUGUCUAGACACAAGACAUACAAAGACAAAGGGAUCUGCCUUGGGAACGGUGUGCAGGGUCAGCCGGGCAAGGGCAUCUGGAAGGCUUGCCAGUGAGUGACCUGGGUCCUUGGGGAUGGUAGCUGCAAGCUGUAGGAAUGCUGGCCGCACCUCCACUCUGGGGUCAGCAGCCAGAGGUGAGGGCUCUUAGCCCUUGGGUUGGGAACCCUGGGCUGCAUUUGGGGCAGGUGUUGAGGCGUGUGGGACGGAAGGGACUUAUAAAGAGGCUGUACAAGCCCCUUUGCCCAGAGACAGCCAAUUAGGCCUGACAGUCUCUGUCUGGUUGUUCUGUGGCAGGCAAGCUGUGUGCGCCCCCAAAGACUGUGUUCAGGAGCAGCUGGUGGCAGGCCACACUGGCAGCAGUGGGUGUGUCUGUACCACUAUGUGGAGGCAUGCUGGGAAGGUCCUGGCGCAUUUCAGAAGGAAAGCCAGAUGAAGCGAAGCUUCCUGGGUAUUCAGUGACACAUGGAUGCGUGAUGCCUAGAAUGGUGGGGUUGGUCCAGCCAGGGCCACAUAGUGCCUGGGCGUUGGGUCCUGGACCUUCAGUUCCAUGCCAAGUCUCUGCAGAGGGAUUUGGCUGUCUGUCUCUGGUGAACCCUGGGUGCAGUGAACAGGCUGCAGAUCAGCCUGGCAGGUGCUGAUGGGAGCUGGUCUCCUUGGAUUACUCUGCUGCUCUCAUAGGUAUACAUGAACACAUACAUACACCACUCCCCCAUGGAUUCAUGCACACCCAUAUUCAUGUACACACACCCACAUAAGUAUAUUUACUCAAGUAUGUACACAUAUACCCAUUACCUAUAGACAUGGAUGUCCAUGAAGAUGCACUUACAUUUACAUGUGUGUAUACAUGUGCACCUGUGCAUACAUGCAUGCAUGCUUACACACCACUUGCAUGUGCAUAGCCAUACAUUUACACCGUGUGUGUAAAUACAUACCUUUAUAUUCUUUACAGUGUACCUGUGUAUUUACUCUCACACACGUGUGUCUCUGCACCUGUAAGUACCAGUCAAAGGCAUGUAUGCACACACAUAUGUGCAUGUGUACCUACAUGAGUAUGCACAUAUUCAUACACAAUGCAUGCACACAGCCACACAUAAGCAUGCAUGCACACAAAUAUGUCGAUGCUGUGUGUGCAACCAUUCACACCUUGAUUCUGAAGAGAGUGGAGUCAUCAGAUAUGAAUUUAAGCUCCUGAUUAUGGCUUUCUUUGCUGCUUGGCAGCUGAGUGACCCUCCCCAUUCCCAGGCCUCAGUUUCCCUGUCUGGAAUGAACACAUUGCACUACUGCCGCUCAGAUCUGUGCUGGCUCUCAGAUACUCCCUCUCCCUGAGGGAGAGUCUCCGCCGACCUGCCCAUCUUUGUCUUUGGUUGGUGCCUGUGGGCACUGAGGAGAGCCAGGGUCGGGGAGAGACCUCGCUUCACUUAGCUCCGACUGGUGACAGAGUCAUGGAAACAGCUGUGUCUCUUGUCUCAAGAGCGAGAGGACGUGUUUUUCUUUGGAGUGGAGCUGAGGAUUUUUUUUCCCCUCUAUGUUUAUGUGCAGUUUCAGUUUUAAAGAUGAGCCAGGGGAAGCUGGAGUUUGCUUCCCUCUCUGCCUCUCCCUGAAGAAUUCCAGAGACCAAUCUGUCUUGUCAGAACAUGGCAGGGAUCCGGCAGCCGGGCCGGCUCCUGGCGCCCCAGCCUGCAGACUGAAUCCAUUGCAUAUUGAUCAUUGAUUUGGCAAAGUCGAGUUCCAACAGAGCUGGCGCAGCCCUCUUGAGGGAGAAGUGCUUGCUGGACUGGCUGGGAUUGGCAUGGGAUGUAAUGGAAAACAGAGGGUCAGUGUCUCUCUCUCUCUGCGUACCCACUGUGUGCCUUGGCAUUGGUCAGCUAGGGUUCAAGCUCCGGCCUGCUUCUGCAUCCCUGGCUGCUUGCAGCCUCGCUGCCUCCAGCCUGCCAUUCUGGCAGCUUGGACCCCAUAUCAGUGUUGAGAGUCCCAGAUGUUCCCACUGCUGCCCCAGUGGCCUGAGCUGGUGUUUGAGGGCCUCAGCCCCCAGUCUCCACAUCUAUUAAGUCCCUCACUGGGUCUGCAGACACAACCUAGCAUUGUCUGUGUGCAGCCCUGCAGGUACACAGAUGAUCAGAUCAAGGGUUCUUGUUCCCCGAUCCCGCUCCUCCAGCCUUGGCCUUUAGAAACUGCUGACGCAGAGCCUGGAGCCUGGACUGCGUGGCCAAUUGGCUUCAGAACAUGACCUCAAGAAACCACCUUUCUUUCAUUGGCUGCCCAGGCUGCCCAGAAGGUCUGUUAAACCCUGGUCCAAGGCUGUAGGGUCCAAGCUGGCCAGUAAGACCUCCUUGUCAGUGAAAAAUGGAGAGGAAGGCCUGCUGCUACCCUUCCUGGUUGGUCACGCAUGUAUGAGGAUGUGAUGCCAAGAGACGCAGCAGCUGUCUGUCCUGUGACCAAGAGAAGAUGAGGACAAGGAUGAACGUCAUAGAAGAAACAGUCUGUGCCCCUAAUGCCACUCUUUUGGAGCUGCCCUGAACCACCCUGGAGCCACCCUUGACCAGGCUUCCUGCUGUUGAGGCGCAAACUAAAUAAGCUCUUCCCACUGUACAUCCAAAGCUGCCCGUGGUCAAGUCCCCAGGACCUGUGACUCUGGCACCGCGUGCCUAACGUACCUUUUAUGUCUGUGUGUGAUGGGAUUAGCAGCUUGAGCCCCUGCCUUGGCCUACUGCGGUGAUGGACUGUAAUCUAGGAUUGUAAGCCAGUAAAUUCUUCCUCUUCUGUGUUGCUUUUUGCCAGGGUGUUUAAUGAAAGCGGGGCAAAGUAUUCGGAGGCGGAUGUACUUCCCUGGUUACAGAGAAGCACUCAGGUGGCAGGGGGCUCGGCUGCUGCCCCCCAAAUGAACACUAGUAGAUACCGCCAUGGUGCCUCCCCACUUCCACAGAGACUACUGUGGGGACCCUCGUUUGGUGCCAAGGGCUUCUGUCUUCAGAAUGGCCUCCCCACGUCUCUCAUUGUUGGGAGCUGCUGCUUUCCUGUGCUCCCUUUAGGAUGGCUGCCCCGGCGCUGCAUCGCCCUCUGCGUGGCACCAGUGCAGCAAGGACAUGAAGGAAUCCCACACUGAGAGUGAGCGUUCAUUCAUAGCAAAGACACCCAAGGCCCAGAGAGCACUGAGCCCAACCUCACCCAUGCCUCUUCCCAUUUGCUGCCACCAAGAAUGUGCAGAGUUCCAGAGGGGCUGCAGAGUGGUCUUGAUCCCCAGCCCCAGCGGUGUCACAGGUGACUAAAGACAAGGAGGUCACCUAUUCUUACAUCCAUUUGGCACAUGAGUUGGACACAAGAGUGAAACCUCAGGAAGAAAGCAUGGCCCAUGUGUGUGCAAACUUCUACUGGAGAUGUGUCCUGGGCAGGAAGGAGACUGGGCUCCGGUUUAGAGCCGAGCAUUGGAUAUAACUGGAAAUAAAUUUAGCUGGUUUACUUGA